rnacentral:miRNA from 1 species
GUACAGUACUGUGAUAACUGAAGGA